rnacentral:rRNA from 1 species
GACGAACGCUGGCGGCGUGCUUAACACAUGCAAGUCGAACGGUGAACCUCUUCGGAGGGGCUCAGUGGGGAACGGGUGAGUGACACGUGGGCAACCUGCCCCCGGCCCUGGGUUAAGUCCAAGAUAAUGGGGCUAAUACUGGAUGAUCACCGCUUCCCGCCUGGGUGGGGGUGGAAAGGGUUUUCGGGGGGGGCUGGGCCCGCGGCCCCGCUGCUUGUUGGGGGGGUAGGGGCCUACCAGGCCGACGACGGGAAGCCGGCCUGAGAGGGUGGACGGCCACACUGGGACUGAGACACGGCCCAGACUCCUCCGGGGGGCAGCGGUGGGGAAUAUUGCGCAAUGGGCGGAAGCCUGACGCAGCGACGCCGCGUGGGGGAUGACGGCCUUCGGGUUGUAAACCUCUUUCAGCGGGGACGAAGCGCAAGUGACGGUACCUGCAGAAGAAGCACCGGCCAACUACGUG